CGUAGGGUGCAAGCGUUAAUCGGAAUUACUGGGCGUAAAGCGUGCGCAGGCGGUUGUGCAAGACAGAUGUGAAAUCCCCGGGCUUAACCUGGGAAUUGCAUUUGUGACUGCACGGCUAGAGUGUGUCAGAGGGGGGUAGAAUUCCACGUGUAGCAGUGAAAUGCGUAGAGAUGUGGAGGAAUACCGAUGGCGAAGGCAGCCCCUGGGAUAACACUGACGCUCAUGCACGAAAAGCGUGGGAGCAAACAGGAUU
rnacentral:rRNA from 1 species